rnacentral:rRNA from 1 species
AGAGUUUGAUCCUGGCUCAGAACGAACGCUGGCGGCAUGCCUAACACAUGCAAGUCGAACGAAGCCUUCGGGCUUAGUGGCGCACGGGUGCGUAACGCGUGGGAAUCUGCCCUUGGGUUCGGAAUAACAGUGAGAAAUUACUGCUAAUACCGGAUGAUGUCUUCGGACCAAAGAUUUAUCGCCCAAGGAUGAGCCCGCGUUAGAUUAGCUAGUUGGUGGGGUAAUGGCCUACCAAGGCGACGAUCUAUAGCUGGUCUGAGAGGAUGAUCAGCCACACUGGGACUGAGACACGGCCCAGACUCCUACGGGAGGCAGCAGUGGGGAAUAUUGGACAGUGGGCGAAAGCCUGAUCCAGCAAUGCCGCGUGAGUGAUGAAGGCCUUAGGGUUGUAAAGCUCUUUUACCAGGGAUGAUAAUGACACAACCUGGAGAACAAGCUCAGGCUAACUCCGUGCAAGCAGCCGCGUAAUACGAAGGAAGCUAGCCGUGUCGACUACUGGGCGUAAAGCGCGCGUAGCGAUUUUCAAGUCAGAGGUGAAAGCCCGGGGCUCAACCCCGGAACUGCCUUUGAAACUGGAUGACUAGAAUCUUGGAGAGGCGAGUGGAAUUCCGAGUGUAGAGGUGAAAUUCGUAGAUAUUCGGAAGAACACCAGUGGCGAAGGCGACUCGCUGGACAAGUAUUGACGCUGAGGUGCGAAAGUGUGGGGAGCAAACAGGAUUAGAUACCCUGGUAGUCCACACCGUAAACGAUGAUAACUAGCUGUCCCGGCUCCUGGAGUUUGGGUGGCGCAGCUAACGCAUUAAGUUAUCCGCCUGGGGAGUACGGUCGCAAGAUUAAAACUCAAAGGAAUUGACGGGGGCCUGCACAAGCGGUGGAGCAUGUGGUUUAAUUCGAAGCACGCGCAGAACCUUACCAGCCUUUGACAUCCUGGUCGCGAUUGGCAGAGAUGCCUUUCUCAGUCGGCUGGACAAGUGACAGUGCUGCAUGCCUGUCGUCAGCUCGUGUCUGAGAUGUGGGGUCAAAUCCCGCAACGAGCGCAACCCUCGUCCUUAGUUGCCACCAUUUAGUUGGGCACUCUAAGGAAACUGCCGGUGAUAAGCCGGAGGAAGGUGGGGAUGACGUCAAGUCCUCAUGGCCCUUACAGGCUGGGCUACACACGUGCUACAAUGGCGGUGACAGUGGGCAGCGAACACGCGAGUGUGAGCUAAUCUCCAAAAGCCGUCUCAGUUCGGAUUGUUCUCUGCAACUCGAGAGCAUGAAGGCGGAAUCGCUAGUAAUCGCGGAUCAGCAUGCCGCGGUGAAUACGUUCCCAGGCCUUGUACACACCGCCCGUCACACCAUGGGAGUUGGUUUCACCCGAAGAUCGUGCGCUAACCUUUUAGGGGGCAGCGAGCCACGGUGGGAUCAGCGACUGGGGUGAAGUCGUAACAAGGUAACC